rnacentral:rRNA from 1 species
UACGGAGGGUGCAAGCGUUAUCCGGAUUCACUGGGUUUAAAGGGUGUGUAGGCGGAUAUUUAAGUCAGUGGUGAAAUCUCCGGGCUCAACCCGGAAACUUCCAUUGAUACUAUUUAUCUUGAAUUCUGUUGAGGUGGGCGGAAUACAUCAUGUAGCGGUGAAAUUCUUAGAUAUGAUGUAGAACACCGAUUUCGAAGGCAGCUCACUAACCAGACAUUGACGCUGAGGCACGAAAGCGUGGGGAUCAAACAGG